CCUACGGGUGGCAGCAGUGGGGAAUAUUGCGCAAUGGGCGAAAGCCUGACGCAGCGACGCCGCGUGCGGGAUGAAGGUCUUCGGAGCGUAAACCUCUGUCAGCAGGGAAGAACGGUCACUGUGCUAAUCAGCAGUGAAUUUACGGUACCUGCAAAGGAAGCACAGGCUAACUCCGUGCCAGCAGCCGCGGUAAUACGGAGGAUGCGAGCGUGAAUCGGAUUUACUGGGCGUAAAGCGCUCGUAGGGGGUAGGUCAAGUCAAGGGUGAAAUCCCCGCGCUCAACGUGGGAACUGCCUUUGAUACUGGCCAGCUGGAGUGUGUGAGAGGAAAGUGGAAUGCCUGGUGUAGCGGUGAAAUGCGUAGAGAUC
rnacentral:rRNA from 1 species